ensembl:lncRNA
GGAAACGAGGUUCGAAGCCGGAGCCAGUGCAGGAUCCGCCUCUCUUCUGCACUCUGACGCUGAGACACACACAGCGCCUCCCUGAGCCGCGGUGCUACGCGGGACAGGAAGGGUCCCGUGGUCAGGACCCCAGAAGCUCCACAUCGCGGGCCAGUGGGGUUUCCAGCCUCCCUGUCCUUAUGUUCGCCCACCUCCCUCUGCCUGGGCCUUUACGCAGGCCCCUUACUCCUGGGAUUGUCCCCACUCCACUCCGGGGCCUUACCUGGCACCACCACCACCCCCUUAGCUUCAUCCCACUAUAGCUUCCGUUUUGUCAGCGCCAGUUGUCUUCUGUCACCGUGCUAAGGGCUUUACAGGACUUUCUAUUUCACUCCUUGCAACAAAUCCCAAGGUAGCCUGUUAUCCCCCAGGGCUUUCCAUUGAAGGAGCUGCAGACCCAGGCUCUGCACACCGCCUUCCUGCUCCCCAGUCCCUAGCAGAUGCCCCCACCCCAUAAUGCGGCUUUCCCUGUUGUCCAAUUGUGUCUCCCCAAGACUGGAAUUUGGGAGAAGGGCUGUCCUUAGUCGCCCCCUCUGGCACUCGGCUCACCCGGCUCAGGGAAUGGGAGUAGUGGGCAAAUGCAUCUCCAGGACACCUGCACAGGAAGCCCUUCCCGAGCCGCAGGGCCAGGAGUCAGCCCACAGGAGGGGCCCACCUAGUGGGCGGGAGAGGCCCUGGGAGAUGCGAGCUCUUCAGGGAGUCCUUCAGCAGCGGCUACCCCGCUGAGCCAGGACCGUUCAUCCUGAGCACGGGAACACCCACUGGAGGAGCGGACGCUGUGCAUUUUCUGUUGCUGUAACUGAAUGCUACAGACUGGGAAGUUUAUAAAGAAUAGUGGUUUAUUUGACUCACGGUUCUGGAAGCCAAAGUCCAAGAGCCUGGUGCCAGAUCUGCUGGCUUCGGUGAGGGAUUCCUCCGGGCCAUGACCUGGCUGGGGCCACACAUGAUGAAACAGAGCAAGCUGCCUGAGGGAUCCCUUUUGUGCCAGAGCUGCUCCUGGGCAACCCUUGAACUUCCAGUCCAUUAACCCACAUGUGGACCUUCAGGGCCUUCAAGACCUAGUCGCUUCGCAGAGGUCCCCUCCAAACACCAGCAGCACAGAACUUUGGGGAUAAGUUUCUAGCACAUGGACCCUGGGUGACAAGCAUUUCAACCACUGCACUAAAAAAUAAAUAAAUAAAUAAAUAAUAAAUAAACCACUGCACUGACCACGUAACCAAAAUGCUCUUUCAUUAAUCCUCACCCUCUUUUCCAGAAGUAGCCACUACUGAUCUGUCAUUUUCGGAUGCACAGUGGCUUCCCUGGCAACUGCACAGUGGUGGGUCAUCCAGAAAGCUCUCAUGAAACCAAGCAGUGGGACCUCGCUGGUGCCAUGAUGCACCUUAAUUACUGUUUCAAAGGCUUUGUCUUAGGAAAUAUUAGAGAUCCACAAAAAUCAUGAACUGUAAACGUAGCAGCAUUAUAACUUAUAAGUGAGCACCCGCCCCUGCACCCAAACACCUCCAGCCAGGAGCUGAGCACCAGCCCGCAGCUGCAGUGCUGGCCUCCCUGCUGCCAAGGCAGCACCCCUUCACCCGAAACCCCAUCCCUGCACUUUCAGCUGUCUGUAUCCACAAACGCAGGUCUCCAACCACCAUGCUUUGGUCUUGCUUGUUUUUGAACUUCAUAUAAACAGAUACCAAGCAUGAUGUGCACAUAUCUGACUUCCUUCAUUUGACUUCAUGUGUGCGAAUUGUGCUCGUGUUUUUGUAUGCAGCUGAAGCUUACUCUUUGCUGGCUAUAAAUCCACUGUGUGAGAUGUCACAGCUGCUUUGCCCAUUGCAUUGGUGAGGCACACCUGCCUCCAGGUUAGGAAUAUUAUAAACUGUGACCCUUCUAAUUUGUGUACCCUGAAGCUCUUGAGUAGGCAUGCAUUUUUCAGUGUGUAUCUAAGAAGAAAAUUGCUGGGUAUGGGUAAUACCUAUCUUUGCUUUUUGUGUCCUUCUGUAUUGAGAUGCACUUUAUACACCCUGGUUUUAAGAAUUUGGAGUUGAGGGCCAGGGAUGUAGCUCAGUGGUUUCGCCACCUGCUGCACAAGCACAAGGAUGCAAGUUCGAUCCCUGGUAGCAAAAAAAAUUUUUUUUAAAUAAAAAGAAUUUGGAGGUGAGGUGCCUCACCACUGCCUCAUGGAGCAGGACUGGCCCACCUUUCCCAAGAGCCCCUCCUUGCCCACCCCUCCUCCACUCCAGGCCCAUGCAACCUCCAUCUGUCACCUGUUGCUGUGGUUUUAAUUUAGCAUUUUGUGUGCAUAGACACACAGGAGG